UACGUAGGGUGCAAGCGUUAAUCGGAAUUACUGGGCGUAAAGCGUGCGCAGGCGGCUUUGCAAGACAAGAUGUGAAAUCCCCGGGCUUAACCUGGGAACUGCAUUUGUGACUGCAUGGCUAGAGUGCGGCAGAGGGGGAUGGAAUUCCGCGUGUAGCAGUGAAAUGCGUAGAUAUCUGGAGGAACACCGGUGGCGAAGGCGACAUCCUGGACCGGCAUUGACGCUGAGG
rnacentral:rRNA from 1 species